ACGACAUAAAACUAUUUUGAUACAAUUUUUUAAAUUUUUAUCACUUGCCUAUAAAAUAUAUAAGUAGUAAGUGUAUUAAUAAUAAUUUAUAUUUAUGUUGUAGGUUAAAGACUUUUAAUAAAUUCAUAUUAUUUAAAAGUUUUUUAUAAUUUUAUUGAGGUUUGAUUCUCGACUGCACUAAAUAAUCUCUACCAAGUCUUCUCUAUCCCACAAGACAUUGGCGAAAUAAUUUGUAUCAAGAAUUUUAUAUUACACGAAAACUCCAAUACAUGAAUAACUAUUUUAUGUACUAAAUUUUAUGUGUAAAAGAUCAAAAUGUGUAUGUUGCGAAGUGGAGUCCGUUUUUGGAUACAGUUUGAAAGAAGGUGUAUUAUUUGUGGGAAUAGUAUCUUUGGUAAUGUCAAUCAUGAUGUUAUUUAUGGCAGUCGCGUGUAUCAUAG
rnacentral:misc_RNA from 1 species